rnacentral:rRNA from 1 species
AACGAACGCUGGCGGCAGGCUUAACACAUGCAAGUCGAACGCACCUUUCGGGGUGAGUGGCAGACGGGUGGGUAACGCGUGGGAAUCUACCCUUCUCUACGGGAUAGCUCCGGGAAACUGGAAUUAAUACCGUAUACGUCCUGAGGGAGAAUGAUUUAUCGGGGAAGGAUGAGCCCGCGUUGGAUUAGCUAGUUGGUGGGGUAAAGGCCUACCAAGGCGACGAUCCAUAGCUGGUCUAAGAGGAUGAUCAGCCACAUUGGGACUGAGACACGGCCCAAACUCCUACGGGAGGCAGCAGUGGGGAAUAUUGGACAAUGGGCGCAAGCCUGAUCCAGCCAUGCCGCGUGAGUGAUGAAGGCCCUAGGGUUGUAAAGCUCUUUCAGUGGGGACGAUAAUGACGGUACCCACAGAAGAAGCCCCGGCUAACUUCGUG